GGUCCCUGCUGGAGCCGGGGAGCAGCCGCGGCAGCUUGGGCGCCCCCCAGCCAGGCUCGGCGCCCGCAUCGCCGCCUGCUGCUCGGGCGCGCCCGCCGGGGACCGCGGCGCCCCGCAGCCGGCCCUCGGCCGUGGUGGCUCGGCGGGCGGCGAGCCGGAGAGCGUGGCUGCCGGGCUCCCCGCAGCUGCCGAGCGCGUAAGUGCAGAGCAGGAGGCGCCCGGAGCGAGCGGCGACGCGGCGGCGGGGGGAGGGGGGGCAGGUCCCGGGGUCCUCGCGCGGCCCCGCCCUCGCCCCGGCUCACGGGGAGCGCCCCGGCGGCGAGCCCACGGCGACGCGGCGCCCAAGCGGGCGUGCCUGAGCGGCCCCGCGGCCCCGGAGCCCGGCCAGGGCGCAGGCGACAGGCGGCGGCGGCCCGGGCGCUCUGCCUCCCGGCCCGGCCGGCUGGGGCUCAGCGCGCCGGGCGCCAGCCCGCCACUCCUCCCGGGCCCCGCGCGCGCUCCCUCGGCUCCCAGCACUGCUUUUCCCGGGCGGGGCGCCGGCGCCGCCGCGGGAGUCCACUGCUCCCCGGGCGCGGGCGCCCCGCGGUCCAGGCUCGGCCGAUGCGGCCAGCCGCCCAGCUCGCGGGCUGCGCCGCCGCCGCCACCUCCUUCGCCGCCGCCGCCGCCGCCCUGCGCUGGGCGCGAGUGCAGCCGCCUGGCCUUGGCUUCCAGCAGGUCAGGAGUUGCGCAGCGGGGCGGGCGCGCGGGGCGGGGCGGGCCGCGAGCCCUGGGGGCGGGCCGGGAGCCGGAGCCCGCGGCCGCCUGGUCGAACCUGCCCGCGCGGCGCCGGGGAGGAGUCCGGGGCGGCGGCGCGGGCCUGCCCAGCGCUCGGCGAGGGCGCCCUCUCCAGGGCCGCCUGCAGCCUCAGGGACUGGGCCGAGCGGCGGCCGGCCUGGGCGCUCCUGCGGUCUUCCCUGGAUGGUGGGCGGAAAAUAACCCAUAGCCAGAGGCACCAUUGCUGAAUUUCCAGUCUCCAAAGAUGGCUUCCAAAUUUCCAGAAAAAGAAAACAGGUGAGCCACAAAGGGAGCAGAAUCAGAAGGACAUUUU
rnacentral:lncRNA from 1 species